rnacentral:rRNA from 1 species
AUUGAACGCUGGCGGCAGGCUUAACACAUGCAAGUCGAGCGGGGGAAGGUAGCUUGCUACCGGACCUAGCGGCGGACGGGCGAGUAAUGCUUAGGAAUCUGCCUAUUAGUGGGGGACAACAUCUCGAAAGGGAUGCUAAUACCGCAUACGUCCUACGGGAGAAAGCAGGGGAUCUUCGGACCUUGCGCUAAUAGAUGAGCCUAAGUCGGAUUAGCUAGUUGAUGGGGUAAAGGCCUACCAAGGCGACGAUCAGGAGCGGGUCUGAGAGGAUGAUCCGCCACACUGGGACUGAGACACGGCCCAGACUCCUACGGGAGGCAGCAGUGGGGAAUAUUGGACAAUGGGGGGAACCCUGAUCCAGCCAUGCCGCGUGUGUGAAGAAGGCCUUAUGGUUGUAAAGCACUUUAAGCGAGGAGGAGGCUACUCUAGUUAAUACCUAGGGAUAGUGGACGUUACUCGCAGAAUAAGCACCGGCUAACUCUGUGCCAGCAGCCGCCGUAA